GGUCGAGCCGUAGUUGGAUUUCUGUUGAGGCGGCCGGUGUGAUACGUGAUUACAGGUUGGUCCGGCAUCUUGAGGCACGAGGGAGUUUAUCGGCUUCGAGUUUUAGGUUUUACUUUGAGGAAUUAGAGUGUUCACGGCAAGCAAGCGCUUUGAAUACAUUAGCAUGGAAUAAUAAUAUAGGACCUUCGUUCUAUUUUGUUGGUUUCUAGAACUUGGGUAAUGAUUAAUAGGGACAAUUGGGGGCAUUCGUAUUAACGCGUCAGAGGUGAAAUUCUUAGAUUGCGUUACGGCGAACUACUGCGAAAGCAUUUGCCAAAGAUGUUUUCAUUGAUCAAGAACGAAAGUAUGGGGAUCGAAGAUGAUUAGAUACCGUCGUAGUCUAUACCAUAAACUAUGCCAACUAGGGAUUGGACAGGUACAUUUAUCGACCUGUUCAGCACCUUAUGAGAAAUCAAAGUUUUUGGGUUCCGGGGGGAGUAUGGUCGCAAGGCUGAAACUUAAAGGAAUUGACGGAAGGGCACCACCAGGAGUGGAGCCUGCGGCUUAAUUUGACUCAACACGGGAAAACUUACCAGGUCCAGACAUAGUAAGGAUUGACAGAUUGAAAGCUCUUUCUUGAUUCUGUGGGUGGUGGUGCAUGGCCGUUCUUAGUUGGUGGAGUGAUUUGUCUGGGUUAAUUCCGUUAACGAACGAGAUCUUAACCUGCUAAA
rnacentral:rRNA from 1 species